UACGAAGGGGGCUAGCGUUGCUCGGAAUUACUGGGCGUAAAGGGAGCGUAGGCGGACAUUUAAGUCAGAGGUGAAAUCCCGGAGCUUAACUUCGGAACUGCCUUUGAUACUGGAUGUCUUGAGUGUGAGAGAGGUAUGUAGAACUCCGAGUGUAGAGGUGAAAUUCGUAGAUAUUCGGAAGAACACCAGUGGCGAAGGCGACAUACUGGCUCAUUACUGACGCUGAGGCUCGAAAGCGUGGGGAGCAAACAGG
rnacentral:rRNA from 1 species